rnacentral:rRNA from 1 species
UGUGAGCUCGAUGAGUAGGGCGGGACACGUGGUAUCCUGUCUGAAUAUGGGGGGACCAUCCUCCAAGGCUAAAUACUCCUGACUGACCGAUAGUGAACCAGUACCGUGAGGGAAAGGCGAAAAGAACCCCGGCGAGGGGAGUGAAAAAGAACCUGAAACCGUGUACGUACAAGCAGUGGGAGCCUCUUUAUGGGGUGACUGCGUACCUUUUGUAUAAUGGGUCAGCGACUUAUAUUCUGUAGCAAGGUUAACCGAAUAGGGGAGCCGAAGGGAAACCGAGUCUUAACUGGGCGUUAAGUUGCAGGGUAUAGACCCGAAACCCGGUGAUCUAGCCAUGGGCAGGUUGAAGGUUGGGUAACACUAACUGGAGGACCGAACCGACUAAUGUUGAAAAAUUAGCGGAUGACUUGUGGCUGGGGGUGAAAGGCCAAUCAAACCGGGAGAUAGCUGGUUCUCCCCGAAAGCUAUUUAGGUAGCGCCUCGUGAAUUCAUCUCCGGGGGUAGAGCACUGUUUCGGCAAGGGGGUCAUCCCGACUUACCAACCCGAUGCAAACUGCGAAUACCGGAGAAUGUUAUCACGGGAGACACACGGCGGGUGCUAACGUCCGUCGUGAAGAGGGAAACAACCCAGACCGCCAGCUAAGGUCCCAAAGUCAUGGUUAAGUGGGAAACGAUGUGGGAAGGCCCAGACAGCCAGGAUGUUGGCUUAGAAGCAGCCAUCAUUUAAAGAAAGCGUAAUAGCUCACUGGUCGAGUCGGCCUGCGCGGAAGAUGUAACGGGGCUAAACCAUGCACCGAAGCUGCGGCAGCGACGCUUAUGCGUUGUUGGGUAGGGGAGCGUUCUGUAAGCCUGUGAAGGUGGCCUGUGAGGGUUGCUGGAGGUAUCAGAAGUGCGAAUGCUGACAUAAGUAACGAUAAAGCGGGUGAAAAGCCCGCUCGCCGGAAGACCAAGGGUUCCUGUCCAACGUUAAUCGGGGCAGGGUGAGUCGACCCCUAAGGCGAGGCCGAAAGGCGUAGUCGAUGGGAAACAGGUUAAUAUUCCUGUACUUGGUGUUACUGCGAAGGGGGGACGGAGAAGGCUAUGUUGGCCGGGCGACGGUUGUCCCGGUUUAAGCGUGUAGGCUGGUUUUCCAGGCAAAUCCGGAAAACCAAGGCUGAGGCGUGAUGACGAGGCACUACGGUGCUGAAGCGACAAAUGCCCUGCUUCCAGGAAAAGCCUCUAAGCAUCAGGUAACAUCAAAUCGUACCCCAAACCGACACAGGUGGUCAGGUAGAGAAUACCAAGGCGCUUGAGAGAACUCGGGUGAAGGAACUAGGCAAAAUGGUGCCGUAACUUCGGGAGAAGGCACGCUGAUAUGUAGGUGAAGCGACUUGCUCGUGGAGCUGAAAUCAGUCGAAGAUACCAGCUGGCUGCAACUGUUUAUUAAAAACACAGCACUGUGCAAACACGAAAGUGGACGUAUACGGUGUGACGCCUGCCCGGUGCCGGAAGGUUAAUUGAUGGGGUUAGCGGCAACGCGAAGCUCUUGAUCGAAGCCCCGGUAAACGGCGGCCGUAACUAUAACGGUCCUAAGGUAGCGAAAUUCCUUGUCGGGUAAGUUCCGACCUGCACGAAUGGCGUAAUGAUGGCCAGGCUGUCUCCACCCGAGACUCAGUGAAAUUGAACUCGCUGUGAAGAUGCAGUGUACCCGCGGCAAGACGGAAAGACCCCGUGAACCUUUACUAUAGCUUGACACUGAACAUUGAGCCUUGAUGUGUAGGAUAGGUGGGAGGCUUUGAAGUGUGGACGCCAGUCUGCAUGGAGCCGACCUUGAAAUACCACCCUUUAAUGUUUGAUGUUCUAACGUUGGCCCGUAAUCCGGGUUGCGGACAGUGUCUGGUGGGUAGUUUGACUGGGGCGGUCUCCUCCUAAAGAGUAACGGAGGAGCACGAAGGUUGGCUAAUCCUGGUCGGACAUCAGGAGGUUAGUGCAAUGGCAUAAGCCAGCUUGACUGCGAGCGUGACGGCGCGAGCAGGUGCGAAAGCAGGUCAUAGUGAUCCGGUGGUUCUGAAUGGAAGGGCCAUCGCUCAACGGAUAAAAGGUACUCCGGGGAUAACAGGCUGAUACCGCCCAAGAGUUCAUAUCGACGGCGGUGUUUGGCACCUCGAUGUCGGCUCAUCACAUCCUGGGGCUGAAGUAGGUCCCAAGGGUAUGGCUGUUCGCCAUUUAAAGUGGUACGCGAGCUGGGUUUAGAACGUCGUGAGACAGUUCGGUCCCUAUCUGCCGUGGGCGCUGGAGAACUGAGGGGGGCUGCUCCUAGUACGAGAGGACCGGAGUGGACGCAUCACUGGUGUUCGGGUUGUCAUGCCAAUGGCACUGCCCGGUAGCUAAAUGCGGAAGAGAUAAGUGCUGAAAGCAUCUAAGCACGAAACUUGCCCCGAGAUGAGUUCUCCCUGACUCCUUGAGAGUCCUGAAGGAACGUUGAAGACGACGACGUUGAUAGGCCGGGUGUGUAAGCGCAGCGAUGCGUUGAGCUAACCGGUACUAAUGAACCGUGAGGCUUAACCUU